UUGGAUAGUGCUGUUGAGUCAUAUGCUAUAUAAAGCAAAUUGGGCGGUUGUGUGAACGGUUUUGCUUACAUUGUCCAACAUGCAAGUUUUGCUAUACGACUUUAGCGAAAAAAUGUUCAGGCAUUCUGGAGGAUAUGCGGGAUUUCGGACUAUCGGCGUGAUCAUUUGUAUUAGUGUUGUCUUUAGUGUUUGUGUUUGUUGUGAAGAACAAGAAUCACAUCAUCGGGACAAAAGAGGGGCCGCGGCAUCAAAUUGCUGGCACGCUUGUCCAGGAGGCGACUCAAAUUGUCAAUGGAUUGACGGGAUGUAUAGAUGUGCCUGUAGCCGCCCUGGUUUAACGCAAUUCUGUAAAGAUAUUGAUUGCUCAUGGUCUGGACAUUGUGCAAAUGGUGGCACGUGUGUAAACGGAGCACAACUACUUUACACGUGCGUUUGUCCUUCCGGUUGGAAAGGCAGCACAUGUUUAGAAAGAGACUGUAACAGCGGCCUGUACUGCAAGAACGGAGGUACAUGUAACACUGUAACUGGAGGUCAGGGCUAUGUGUGCACAUGUCAGAGCGGAUGGACAGGAACAAACUGUACAUUGAUUGACUGUAAUAGCGGCAUAUACUGCAAAAACGGCGGCACUUGCAAGGAUACGGGUCAAGACUAUGAGUGCGCAUGCGUAACAGGAUGAACAGGGAAGAACUGUACAUCAAUAGAUUGUAACAGCGGCGUGUAUUGUAAGAACGGUGGACCUUGCAAUACUUUACACGGAGGUCUUGAUUAUGAGUGCACAUGUCCCAAAGGUUGGACAGGAAAGAACUGUUCCUUGAUAGAUUGUGACAGAGGCAUUUAUUGUCAGAACGGCGGCACUUGCAAGCCUAUAAACGAAGGGAAUGACUAUGAGUGCACAUGCCCCACAGGAUGGAAAGGAAAGAACUGUACCUUGAUAGACUGCAACAGUGGAUCGUAUUGCACCAAUGGCGGCGUUUGUGUAGAAAACGGAACGGACUACACAUGUGUAUGCAAGGAUGGUUGGAACGGCAAGGAUUGUGAACUCGUCUUGUGUACCUGGUCUGGACAUUGCAACGACCGUGGAAAUUGUGUCCAAACAUCUACCAAUACUGACUAUACGUGCAGCAAUUGUACAUCAGGAUGGAAAGGAAAAAGUUGCCAACUCGUUGAUUGCAGCGGUGGAUCGUAUUGCACCAAUGGCGGUGUUUGUGUGGAAAAUGGAC